rnacentral:rRNA from 1 species
CACCGCGGUUAAACGAGAGGCCCUAGUUAAUAAUUGACGGCGUAAAGGGUGGUUAGGGGGUGUAAUGUAAUAAAGCCGAAUGGCCCUUUGGCUGUCAUACGCUUCUAGGUGUCCGAAGCCCAACAUACGAAAGUAGCUUUAAGAAAGUCCACCUGACGCCACGAAAACUGAGAAA